CGCCCUUAGAGUUUGAUCCUGGCUCAGGAUGAACGCUGGCGGCGUGCUUAACACAUGCAAGUCGAACGAAGCACUUUAUUUGAUUUCCUUCGGGGCUGAUUAUUUUGUGACUGAGUGGCGGACGGGUGAGUAACGCGUGGGUAACCUGCCUUGUACAGGGGGAUAACAGUUGGAAACGGCUGCUAAUACCGCAUAAGCGCACAGCAUCGCAUGAUGCAGUGUGAAAAACUCCGGUGGUAUAAGAUGGACCCGCGUUGGAUUAGCUAGUUGGUGAGGUAACGGCCCACCAAGGCGACGAUCCAUAGCCGACCUGAGAGGGUGACCGGCCACAUUGGGACUGAGACACGGCCCAAACUCCUACGGGAGGCAGCAGUGGGGAAUAUUGCACAAUGGGCGAAAGCCUGAUGCAGCGACGCCGCGUGAGCGAAGAAGUAUUUCGGUAUGUAAAGCUCUAUCAGCAGGGAAGAUAAUGACGGUACCUGACUAAGAAGCACCGGCUAAAUACGUGCCAGCAGCCGCGGUAAUACGUAUGGUGCAAGCGUUAUCCGGAUUUACUGGGUGUAAAGGGAGCGCAGGCGGUGCGGCAAGUCUGAUGUGAAAGCCCGGGGCUCAACCCCGGUACUGCAUUGGAAACUGUCGUACUAGAGUGUCGGAGGGGUAAGCGGAAUUCCUAGUGUAGCGGUGAAAUGCGUAGAUAUUAGGAGGAACACCAGUGGCGAAGGCGGCUUACUGGACGAUAACUGACGCUGAGGCUCGAAAGCGUGGGGAGCAAACAGGAUUAGAUACCCUGGUAGUCCACGCCGUAAA
rnacentral:rRNA from 1 species